rnacentral:lncRNA from 1 species
UCACCAAAAGAAAAAAGAAAAAAAAAUGAACUCUGAAACCCCAAAGCUAUUCCCCCAUUUCCCAAACUCAAACGAAAGAAAGAGAAGUUAAAUCACAUGAAAAGCUCUAUGGAAACAUCUCCACGUACAUAAAAAAAUGUAUCAACUAUCUAAAUCUCAUGAACUACAAGCAUAUAUUAAUCUAUAUAUAAACCAGAACACAACUACUUCCAAAAUGGUGAAUUAGAUAGGGCAAUGGAGGAGAUAAUACCUUAUCCGAUGUUCUCGGCGGAAGACCUGUGAAACCCAAGCUAAAAUUUGAUUCUCGCAGUCAAAAUCCCAAGCUAAACUUUGCGAAAGUUGGGGAAGACGAAGAGCGAUUUUGAUGUUCUUUUAAAAACCCUAGGGCUUGCGUUGGUAGCGGGAA